rnacentral:rRNA from 1 species
AUUGAACGCUGGCGGCAUGCUUUACACAUGCAAGUCGAACGGUAACAGGCCUUCGGGUGCUGACGAGUGGCGAACGGGUGAGUAAUGCAUCGGAACGUACCCAGAGGUGGGGGAUAACGCAGCGAAAGCUGUGCUAAUACCGCACGUGAUCUGUGGAUGAAAGCGGGGGACCGAGCAGCAAUGUUUGGCCUCGCGCCUUUGGAGCGGCCGAUGUCGGAUUAGCUAGUUGGUGGGGUAAAGGCCUACCAAGGCGACGAUCCGUAGCUGGUCUGAGAGGACGACCAGCCACACUGGGACUGAGACACGGCCCAGACUCCUACGGGAGGCAGCAGUGGGGAAUUUUGGACAAUGGGCGCAAGCCUGAUCCAGCAAUGCCGCGUGCGGGAAGAAGGCCUUCGGGUUGUAAACCGCUUUUGGCAGGAACGAAACGGUGUCCGCUAAUACCGGGCGCUAAUGACGGUACCUGCAGAAUAAGCACCGGCUAACUACGUG